rnacentral:rRNA from 1 species
UACAGAGGGGGCAAGCGUUGUUCGGAAUUACUGGGCGUAAAGGGCGCGUAGGUGGCCUGCUAAGUCGAACGUGAAAUCCCUGGGCUCAACCCAGGAACUGCGUCCGAUACUGGUUGGCUUGAGUCCGGGAGAGGGAUGUGGAAUUCCAGGUGUAGCGGUGAAAUGCGUAGAUAUCUGGAGGAACACCGGUGGCGAAGGCGACAUCCUGGACCGGUAUUGACGCUGAGGCGCGAAAGCCAGGGGAGCAAACGGG